GGAAUUGUGGCUCAGUGGCAGAGCACUUGCCUCACAUGUAUGAGGCACUGGGUUUGAUCCUCAGCACCA
rnacentral:tRNA from 1 species